AGUGAACGCUGGCGGUAGGCCUAACACAUGCAAGUCGAACGGCAGCACAGUAAGAGCUUGCUCUUACGGGUGGCGAGUGGCGGACGGGUGAGGAAUACAUCGGAAUCUACUUUUUCGUGGGGGAUAACGUAGGGAAACUUACGCUAAUACCGCAUACGACCUACGGGUGAAAGCAGGGGAUCUUCGGACCUUGCGCGAUUGAAUGAGCCGAUGUCGGAUUAGCUAGUUGGCGGGGUAAAGGCCCACCAAGGCGACGAUCCGUAGCUGGUCUGAGAGGAUGAUCAGCCACACUGGAACUGGGACACGGUCCAGACUCCUACGGGAGGCAGCAGUGGGGAAUAUUGGACAAUGGGCGCAAGCCUGAUCCAGCCAUACCGCGUGGGUGAAGAAGGCCUUCGGGUUGUAAAGCCGUUUUGUUGGGAAAGAAAAGCAGCAGGUUAAUACCCCGCUGUUCUGACGGUACCCAAAGAAUAAGCACCGGCUAACUUCGUG
rnacentral:rRNA from 1 species